rnacentral:rRNA from 1 species
CAGCCGCCGCGGUAAUACAGAGGAUGCAAGCGUUAUCCGGAAUGAUUGGGCGUAAAGCGUCUGUAGGUGGCUUUUCAAGUCCGCUGUCAAAUCCCAGGGCUCAACCCUGGACAGGCGGUGGAAACUACCAAGCUAGAGUACGGUAGGGGCAGAGGGAAUUUCCAGUGGAGCGGUGAAAUGCGUUGAGAUCGGAAAGAACACCAACGGCGAAAGCACUCUGCUGGGCCGACACUGACACUGAGAGACGAAAGCUAGGGGAGCAAAUGGGAUUAGAUACCCCCGUAGUCCCUGUCUCUUAUAC